GACACGACUCUCGGCAAUGGAUAUCUCGGCUCUCGCAUCGAUGAAGAGCGCAGCGAAAUGCGAUACGUGGUGCGAAUUGCAGAAUCCCGCGAACC
rnacentral:rRNA from 16 species